GAGGGUAUAGCUCAAUUGGUAGAGCGCUUGCUUAGCAUGCAUGAGGUACUGGGUUCAAUCCCCAGUACCUCCA
rnacentral:tRNA from 1 species